UCUCCACCAUAACAAAAUGUUUCAACUAUAUCUCAGGAGUAGUCAAAGGAAGUACGGCGGGUCCGAGUAGGAAAAAAUUCACUAAGAAGUAGGGCAUACAACAAUGGAUCAAUUCAUUCAACAAGAUCCGUUCGGAUCGAACCAGGAUGAAUGGGAUUGGUCUGACCUCUCGCUCGGAUUCGUGAACAGCUAUGCCCGAGAAUGAAUGAAUUGUGAUAUAACGCCGAAUAAGCCACUGCUCUAUUCCCGACUCGAAAUCCAUAAAGGACUUUAAG
rnacentral:tRNA from 1 species